rnacentral:rRNA from 2 species
UUGGAUAACCGUGGUAAUUCUAGAGCUAAUACAUGCUGGAAACCCCAACUUCGGGAGGGGUGUAUUUAUUAGAUAAAAAACCAACGCCCUUCGGGGCUUCUUGGUGAUUCAUGAUAACUUUACGGAUCGCAUGGCCUUGCGCCGGCGACGGUUCAUUCAAAUUUCUGCCCUAUCAACUUUCGAUGGUAAGGUAUUGGCUUACCAUGGUUUCAACGGGUAACGGGGAAUUAGGGUUCGAUUCCGGAGAGGGAGCCUGAGAAACGGCUACCACAUCCAAGGAAGGCAGCAGGCGCGCAAAUUACCCAAUCCCGACACGGGGAGGUAGUGACAAUAAAUACUGAUACAGGGCUCUUUUGGGUCUUGUAAUUGGAAUGAGUACAAUUUAAACCUCUUAACGAGGAACAAUUGGAGGGCAAGUCUGGUGCCAGCAGCCGCGGUAAUUCCAGCUCCAAUAGCGUAUAUUAAAGUUGUUGCAGUUAAAAAGCUCGUAGUUGAAACUUGGGUCUGGCUGGCAGGUCCGCCUCACCGCGUGUACUUGUCCGGCCGGGCCUUCCUUCUGGAGAACCUCAUGCCCUUCACUGGGCGUGUUGGGGACCAGGACUUUUACUUUGAAAAAAUUAGAGUGUUCAAAGCAGGCCUUUGCUCGAAUACGUUAGCAUGGAAUAAUAGAAUAGGACGUGCGGUCCUAUUUUGUUGGUUUCUAGGACCGCCGUAAUGAUUAAUAGGGACAGUCGGGGGCAUCAGUAUUCAAUUGUCAGAGGUGAAAUUCUUGGAUUUAUUGAAGACUAACUACUGCGAAAGCAUUUGCCAAGGAUGUUUUCAUUAAUCAGUGAACGAAAGUUAGGGGAUCGAAGACGAUCAGAUACCGUCGUAGUCUUAACCGUAAACUAUGCCGACUAGGGAUCGGGCGAUGUUCUUUUUCUGACUCGCUCGGCACCUUACGAGAAAUCAAA